GCUCAGCCGGUAGAGCACGUGACUUUUAAUCACGGGGUCCUGGGUUCGAGCCCCAGCGCGCUCACCA
rnacentral:tRNA from 1 species